GUGUCGCGUCCCACAACCCUGCAGAGAGAUAUUUAAGCAUUUCCCUGUCAGCCUCACACACAAGAGGUGAAGGCAACAGUGACUUAUAUUGGACAUCGUGAAGUUACAGUAGAGGAAUUUCACGUGCAAAGAAAGGAGUGAAAAACAGGCAGAGCAGAGAGAAAACAUAUGAAGGUUUUUGGAGUUCUUUUAAGUGCACCAACACCUUUAGGAGUGCACC